AUGCCUCCUCAUAAGAUAGAGACUGGGCACCAGGAUAUGGUGCAUGACAUCGUGAUGGAUUACUAUGGGAAGCGCCUCGCCACUGCAUCCUCUGAUAACACAAUAAAGAUCAUUGGCGUAAGUGGCACCUCGCAGCAGCAACUUGCUACUUUGAGCGGACACCAGGGCCCAGUUUGGCAAGUCGCGUGGGCUCAUCCUAAGUAUGGUUCCAUGCUUGCAUCCUGCAGCUAUGAUGGGCGGUUUAUAAUAUGGAAAGAAGCGGGUAAACCUGAUGAGUGGACACAGGCUUACACUUUCACUGAGCACAAGUCUUCUUUAAAUUCCAUUGCUUGGGCGCCUCAUGAACUCGGUAUCUGCUUGGCUUGUGGUUCAUCUGAUGGGAACAUUUCAGUCUUCACAGCUCGUUCUGAUGGUGGGUGGGAGACGACGCGCAUCGACCAGGCUCAUCCAGUGGGCGUGACCUCUGUUUCCUGGGCUCCGGCGAUGGCCCCUGGUGCCCUAAUCAGCCCAGGGCCUUCAGGGCAGUUUGAGUAUGUUCAGAAACUUGCUUCUGGUGGUUGUGACAACACUGUCAAGGUGUGGAAGCUCACCAACGGGAGCUGGAGGAUGGACUGCUUCCCAGCCCUUCAGAUGCACGACUGGGUGAGAGAGGUCGCCUGGGCUCCAAACCUUGGCCUCCCAAAGUCCACAAUCGCCAGUGCCUCUCAGGACGGAACUGUUGUCAUCUGGACAGCGCCGAAAGAAGGCGAGCAAUGGGAAGGCAGAGUUCUGAAUGAUUUCAGAACCCCUGUUUGGAGGGUGUCGUGGUCACUGACAGGAAAUAUACUGGCGGUCUCUGAUGGCAACAACAAUGUGACCCUGUGGAAAGAAGCUGUGGAUGGCGAAUGGCAGCAGGUGACUACCGUCGAGCCAUAG
rnacentral:rRNA from 1 species